rnacentral:sRNA from 2 species
CUCUUCUCACAAUUCUGCUCUGUGCUUGUGUAGUCUCUAACAAUUUCUUCAUAUAAUCCUUAACAUUCUUCUGCUCUGUGCUUCACUGCAGUAUGAUCUCUGAUAUUCUUCUGUCUCAAUUCUUCUUUUAUAAGAACUCUCUUAUAUAACCUCUUCUUCUGAUCUUUCUUCUCUUUCUUUUCUUAAUCAAUUCAUAAACUGUUAUCAGAAUAGUGUCAAGUCUGUUGAUAUUGCUAUUGAAAUGAAUUGUAUGAACUGCAC